CGUUGUACCAGCCGUGAAUCGCUGCCGUCUCCUUAAAGGCCGGCUGCCGUGCCCAAAUCCUAGCAUCUGGGUGGAACAGUGAUUGAUUCUACAGCCUCACAACUUCAGCAGCUCCCUCUGAUGAUGUCACUUCCAUCCCUUCUUGAUGACUUCCUUCUCUUUAGAACCCACCUACCGAAGACAUCACUUCCACUUCCAGCCACUGUUAUCAUUCCUUUUC